rnacentral:rRNA from 1 species
UACAGAGGGGGCAAGCGUUGUUCGGAAUUACUGGGCGUAAAGGGCGCGUAGGCGGCCUUCUAAGUCGAACGUGAAAUCCCCGGGCUCAACCCGGGAACUGCGUCCGAUACUGGAAGGCUUGAAUCCGGGAGAGGGAUGCGGAAUUCCAGGUGUAGCGGUGAAAUGCGUAGAUAUCUGGAGGAACACUAGUGGCGAAGGCGGAUCUCUGGACAGUAUCUGACGCUGAGCACGAAGGCCAGGGGAGCGAAACGGG